rnacentral:tRNA from 1 species
CUCUGGGUGGUAUAAAUGGUUAACACGUUUGGGUGCUAACCAAAAUGAUGGAGGUUCGAGUCCACCCAGAGG